rnacentral:rRNA from 1 species
AUUGAACGCUGGCGGCAGGCCUAACACAUGCAAGUCGAACGGUAACAGAAAGCAGCUUGCUGCUUUGCUGACGAGUGGCGGACGGGUGAGUAAUGUCUGGGAAACUGCCUGAUGGAGGGGGAUAACUACUGGAAACGGUAGCUAAUACCGCAUAACGUCGCAAGACCAAAGAGGGGGACCUUCGGGCCUCUUGCCAUCGGAUGUGCCCAGAUGGGAUUAGCUAGUAGGUGGGGGAACGGCUCACCUAGGCGACGAUCCCUAGCUGGUCUGAGAGGAUGACCAGCCACACUGGAACUGAGACACGGUCCAGACUCCUACGGGAGGCAGCAGUGGGGAAUAUUGCACAAUGGGCGCAAGCCUGAUGCAGCCAUGCCGCGUGUAUGAAGAAGGCCUUCGGGUUGUAAAGUACUUUCAGCGGGGAGGAAGGGAGUAAAGUUAAUACCUUUGCUCAUUGACGUUACCCGCAGAAGAAGCACCGGCUAACUCCGUG